GGAGGACGUUUUACCCCUGCACUAUUUAAUAGUAUAUUCUAAAGUAUAUAUGUGUACACGUGGACACAUUACUAUUUAUAAUAAUGCAAUACUUAUGAUGUCCACGUGACACAUGUAUAUCUUUAAAAUACACUAUUAAACAGUGCAAGAUGGUAAAUGUCAUUUUCAAAGUUUGAUAUUAUCACAAUAAUUUCGGUCGAAGUUCAAAUAUAUUUCAGACUUUUUCCCCUGAAUGAUAACAAUUCAAAUAGAAAAACACAACAAUUUUUCUGUUUGAAAUAUCACCAUAAUUCGAAUUUAAAAAGAGGAUAAUUGAUAGUGAAUGUGUUAUAAAUGAUAAUCAUUCAGGUAGAAAAAUAAAACAUCUGAUAGUUAGAGCGUGAAAAUCACAAAACAAUCUGUUUUCUACUAUAUGGUGUUUCGGAGUCUUGUGAAGAAGUCACUUAAGUAUUGAGAGUACAAGAAUGAUGAUGCUCCAUUUGCAAUCCAUUCUUAGUGAUAGUCUUUUGUGUGGACAAUUGUAGCAGAGGUGACUUCCCUCCUGGCUUUGUUUUUGGUGCUGGAACUUCUGCCUAUCAAGUUGAAGGGACAACAUUUGAAGAUGGAAAGACACCUAGUAUAUGGGACACUUUUGCUCAUGCUGGUUUUGUUUCUCAAAUCUUUCGAAUUCUGCUUCUUUAUCGUCAUAUGAACUUUAAGGUGUAUGAAGUUUCAUAUUUGAUUUUUUAAGCAGAACGAUAGAGACUUCAUUUAACAUAGGUUUAUUUUGGCCCUACGUCAAGAUAAUCCUAUCUUUGAAAUACUUUAGUAAUGCUCCUAAAUAAUGAAUCAUUCGCGUUGCAGCCUUUUCUUUUGCUCUUUCUGAGUUUUUGUUCGAACAGUCUUGAAACUAGAGAUAGUUGACAUGUAUUGUUUGCUUUGGCCUGAUUGAUCUCAAGUAUUUGUCACUUAGAGCUAUGUCACAUUGUUAGAGUGGAUUAGAGUCUCACAUUAGUUGGAGAAUGGAUUAAUUUGGUGGUUUGUUUAUAUAAAUUUAGGCAGUUUUUCCUUUAUGAGAGAGCUUUGGGAAUUGAAUUAGACUUAUGUGUCAUAUUUUUACAUGAUAUUUGAGUCAUGUUCAUUCCUCUUUGUGCUCCCGGUCUGCGCUUCAGUUGGGCCUUGUUAGAGUAAGUGACCAUCUCAUCUGAUAGUUUAAGCUGUUAGAGAGAGCUUACUUUUAUGAUUUAAUUACAUCCUCAACAAGCCUAAGUGACGAGUGCAGAAAAUUGUUAUACUACUACUUAUGGCCAUAGGUCUAUAUUUGAUCAAGGGGAUAUACUAUUUUUGAACUUAUCAUAUGUAUUUGGAGCAGUUAUAUCUAACUCACAAACAAAUGUUGUGAGUUAGAUACUUAGGUUAACUGCAGAUUGGCAUAUGAUAUUUCACGUUUUUGCUUCCAGUUUUUUUCGGUGGAGCCAAUGGAGACAUAACAUGUGAUGUUUACCACAAAUACAAGGUGAAUACAAAGAUGUACCUUUUAUUGGAGGAUCAGACGUGCAGCUGUCUACAUUUUGUGGAGUCCGAGCAACAUAUUAUGGUUGUUCUUUACAUUUUGUAAGGAGUUGGGUAGCAUUAUGUUCAAUUAGUUUUUUCACUAAGAAAGGCAUUUUGAGUUCAUCAAAUUUUUGUUGCUGGACGAUGUCCAACUCAUGGUUGACACGGGCUUAGAAGCCUACAAGUUCUCUAUUUUAUGGUCUCGACUUA